AUUCCAGCUCCAAUAGCGUAUAUUAAUGUUGUUGCAGUUAAAACGCUCGUAGUCGGAUUUCGGGGCGGGGCUUCCGGUCUGCCGUUGGGUAUGCACUGGAUGCCGCGUCCUUCCUUCCGGAGACCGUUCCUACUCUUAACUGAGCGGGGUCGGGAGACGGAUCUUUUACUUUGAAAAAAUCAGAGUGUUUCAAGCAGGCAUAUCGCUUUUGCAUGGAUUAGCAUGGGAUAAUGAAAUAGGACUUUGGUGCUAUUUUGUUGGUUUCGAACACCGAAGUAAUGAUUAACAGGGACAGUCAGGGGCACUAAUAUUCCGUUGAGAGAGGUGAAAUUCUUAGACCAGCGGAAGAUUAACCACUGCGAAAGCAUUUGCCAGGGAUGUUUUCAUCG
rnacentral:rRNA from 1 species